rnacentral:tRNA from 2 species
GGCGCUUUAGCUCAGUUGGUUAGAGCGAUGGAAUCAUAAUCCACAGGUCCGCGGUUCGAGUCCGUGAAGCGCCACCA